GACGAACGCUGGCGGCGUGCUUAACACAUGCAAGUCGAGCGGUAAGGCCCUUUCGGGGGUACACGAGCGGCGAACGGGUGAGUAACACGUGGGUGACCUGCCCUCAGCUCUGGGAUAAGCCUGGGAAACCGGGUCUAAUACUGGAUAUGACUCCAUGACGCAUGUUGUGGGGUGGAAAGCCUUGUGCGGCUGAGGAUCGGGCCCGCGGCCUAUCAGCUUGUUGGUGGGGUGANGGCCUACCAAGGCGACGACGGGUAGCCGGCCUGAGAGGGCGACCGGCCACACUGGGACUGAGACACGGCCCAGACUCCGUACGGGAGGCAGCAGGUGGGGAAUCUUGCGCAAUGGGACGAAAGCCUGACGCAGCGACGCCGCGUGAGGG
rnacentral:rRNA from 1 species